AGGCAGCAGUGAGGAAUAUUGGUCAAUGGACGAGAGUCUGAACCAGCCAAGUAGCGUGCAGGAUGACGGCCCUAUGGGUUGUAAACUGCUUUUAUAAGGGAAUAAAGUGAGUCUCGUGAGACUUUUUGCAUGUACCUUAUGAAUAAGGACCGGCUAAUUCCGUGCCAGCAGCCGCGGUAAUACGGAAGGUCCGGGCGUUAUCCGGAUUUAUUGGGUUUAAAGGGAGCGUAGGCCGGAGAUUAAGCGUGUUGUGAAAUGUAGACGCUCAACGUCUGCACUGCAGCGCGAACUGGUUUCCUUGAGUACGCACAAAGUGGGCGGAAUUCGUGGUGUAGCGGUGAAAUGCUUAGAUAUCACGAAGAACUCCGAUUGCGAAGGCAGCUCACUGGAGCGCAACUGACGCUGAAGCUCGAAAGUGCGGGUAUCGAACAGGAUUAGAUACCCUGGUAGUCCGCACGGUAAACGAUGGAUGCCCGCUGUUGGUCUGAAUAGGUCAGCGGCCAAGCGAAAGCAUUAAGCAUCCCACCUGGGGAGUACGCCGGCAACGGUGCAACUCAAAUGAA
rnacentral:rRNA from 1 species